AUUGAACGCUGGCGGCAGGCCUAACACAUGCAAGUCGAACGAGUGGCGGACGGGUGAGUAAUGUCUGGGAAACUGCCCGAUGGAGGGGGAUAACUACUGGAAACGGUAGCUAAUACCGCAUACCAUCGGAUGUGCCCAGAGGGGGUUAGCUAGUAGGUGGGGGAACGGCUCACCUAGGCGACGAUCCCCAGCCGGUCUGAGAGGAUGACCAGCCACACGGGAACUGAGCCACGGUCCAGACUCCUACGGGAGGCAGCAGUGGGGAAUAUUGCACAAUGGGCGCAAGCCUGAUGCAGCCAUGCCGCGUGUAUGAAGAAGGCCUUCGGGUUGUAAAGUACUUUCAGCGAGGAGGCGUUACUCGCAGAAGAAGCACCGGCUAACUCCGUGCCAGCAGCCGCGGUAAUUC
rnacentral:rRNA from 1 species